CUGUAGAGCUGGCCGCUCUUGGAGCGCGCCUCGGCGUAGAAGGAGCGCAGCACGCGGCACAGCGCCCCCUUGUCCAUGGUCUCGAAGUCCGGGCUCUGCGCCUUCUCGCUCAGCCCUUUCAGAUGCUGCCUGGACAGUUUGCAAACCACCUGCAGGCCUCCCGCCGGCGUCCCGGACCAAGGACGCACCUUGGAGAGCGGGCCGGCCCUGGUCGCAGGGAGGCUGGCUGAGUCGGCUCCUGGCGCCAGUCCUUGAUCCGCUUCCAAAAUCCUCUGCCCAUCACGAUACGUCGUCACAUGUUGGAAAACACCUCUUGAGAGUUUCACUACUGAAUUCCUUGGACUCCCAUUGAAGACCGUCUUGAGCAAUGUUUUUCUGAACUCGGAUGAAAACAGAACCCGUGCCAUCCCACUCUACAAAGUGGAAGAAGAAAACUCCAGAAGAGCAAGAUCUAUGUCGUAUCGGUCACGGCCAGCCUGAUUCCCUGCCAGCAGAGUUCCCGAGCAUGUGGCUGGCACACGGUGGACGCCCGAUGUUUUUAAAGCAAGCAGUCUGAGGGGAACGUAGUUCUCCAGAAGGCCAUUGUGUUCUUGUGGAGCCUACGAUAUUCUGCUGUCGUCAUAUUCUGAUACCAAAACUUCAUCUGCUCAACAAAGAAGUCCAGGGCUUGGAAAGCACAGAUCCCUGGAGACAGACAUGCCCCGUACGCCUUUCUGGUUCCAUCAGUGACUCUGGCUGCGGCGGCUCCUUCCCAUGAACUCGCACUUGCUCUCCUGAGGACAGGUGAGGGUCGCUCCUAUGUUCCCGGGGAGUGGGCACCCCGAGCGCCUAAAUGACCGCCCGCAUCGCCAGCUCCUGGACAGGACCCUGCAGCGCUCGCAUCCUCAACAACUCGCCCGCCCAGGGCCUCCCGUUCCUUCCCUCCGCCCAGAGAAAACCCUUCCCUUCCAGUGCACGUCCAUGAGCUCCGUCCCACGUGGCUGCUGUCUAAGGCAGUGAUGGCGAACCUAUGACAUGCGAACUCAUUUUUUUGGAUGAUUUU